CAUUAGAUAACUUAAAGCAAGUAAUGGUCUCUUAAACCAUAUAAUAGUAAUUAGCACCUACUUUUAAUGA
rnacentral:tRNA from 1 species